rnacentral:rRNA from 1 species
CCCGCACGAAAGGCGUAACGAUUUGGGCACUGUCUCAACGAGAGACUCGGUGAAAUCAUAGUACCUGUGAAGAUGCAGGUUACCCGCGACAGGACGGAAAGACCCCGUGGAGCUUUACUGUAGCCUGAUAUUGAAAUUCGGCACAGCUUGUACAGGAUAGGUAGGAGCCUUUGAAACGUGAGCGCUAGCUUACGUGGAGGCGCUGGUGGGAUACUACCCUAGCUGUGUUGGCUUUCUAACCCGCACCACUUAUCGUGGUGGGAGACAGUGUCAGGCGGGCAGUUUGACUGGGGCGGUCGCCUCCUAAAAGGUAACGGAGGCGCUCAAAGGUUCCCUCAGAAUGGUUGGAAAUCAUUCAUAGAGUGUAAAGGCAUAAGGGAGCUUGACUGCGAGACCUACAAGUCGAGCAGGGUCGAAAGACGGACUUAGUGAUCCGGUGGUUCCGCAUGGAAGGGCCAUCGCUCAACGGAUAAAAGCUACCCCGGGGAUAACAGGCUUAUCUCCCCCAAGAGUUCACAUCGACGGGGAGGUUUGGCACCUCGAUGUCGGCUCAUCGCAUCCUGGGGCUGUAGUCGGUCCCAAGGGUUGGGCUGUUCGCCCAUUAAAGCGGUACGCGAGCUGGGUUCAGAACGUCGUGAGACAGUUCGGUCCCUAUCCGUCGUGGGCGUAGGAAAUUUGAGAGGAGCUGUCCUUAGUACGAGAGGACCGGGAUGGACAUACCUCUGGUGUACCAGUUGUCGUGCCAACGGCAUAGCUGGGUAGCUAUGUGUGGACGGGAUAAGUGCUGAAAGCAUCUAAGCAUGAAGCCCCCCUCAAGAUGAGAUUUCCCAACUUCGGUUAUAAGAUCCCUCAAAGAUGAUGAGGUUAAUAGGUUCGAGGUGGAAGCAUGGUGACAUGUGGAGCUGACGAAUACUAAUCGAUCGAAGACUUAAUCAA